rnacentral:rRNA from 1 species
UCGAGAAUCAUUCACAAUGGGGGCAACCCUGAUGGUGCAACGCCGCGUGGAGGAUGAAGGUCUUCGGAUUGUAAACUCCUGUCAUCUAGGAGCAAGACCUGGCGAUGAAUAGUCGACAGGGUUGAUAGUACUAGAAGAGGAAGGGACGGCUAACUUCGUGCCAGCAGCCGCGGUAAUACGGAGGGGGCUAGCGUUGUUCGGAAUUACUGGGCGUAAAGCGCACGUAGGCGGAUUGGAAAGUCAGAGGUG